UACAGAGGGUGCGAGCGUUAAUCGGAAUUACUGGGCGUAAAGCGCACGUAGGUGGCGACGUAAGUCGGGUGUGAAAGCCCCGGGCUCAACCUGGGAAUUGCAUUCGAGACUGCAUUGCUGGAGUACGGAAGAGGAGGGCGGAAUUCCCGGUGUAGCGGUGGAAUGCGUAGAGAUCGGGAAGAACAUCAGUGGCGAAGGCGACCUCCUGGGUCGUACCUGACGCUGAGAUGCGAAAGCUAGGGGAGCAAACGGG
rnacentral:rRNA from 1 species